CGCAUCUGUGCAUGCAGCAUAUCAAUAAGCGGAGGAAAAGAAACUAACAAGGAUUCCCCUAGUAACGGCGAGUGAAGCGGGAAGAGCUCAAAUUUGAAAUCUUAAAGGGUUUCCCUUACGAAUUGUAGUUUAAAGAAGUGUUUUCUGUUAGUGGAGUUGGCUAAAAGUUCUUUGGAAUAGGACAUCAUAGAGGGUGAGAAUCCCGUAUUUGGUACAUUACCUUUCUAACUUUGUGAUACACUUUCAAAGAGUCGGAUUGUUUGGGAAUGCAGUCCAAAAUGGGUGGUAAAUUUCAUCUAAAGCUAAAUAUUGGCGAGAGACCGAUAGCGAACAAGUACCGUGAGGGAAAGAUGAAAAGAACUUUGAAAAGAGAGUUAAGCAGUACGUGAAAUUGUCAAAAGGGAAGCGUUUGACACCAGUGUUGUUUUUCUGAAAAUCAAUUAAAGAACUGUUUAUGCUAAGUUGUUUAGACUUUAUCAGCUAUCUGUUUAGUUUUGAGCUUUUCUUUAAUGCACUUUUCAGUUAACAAGUCAACAUCCAAUUUCUUUUGCUGUAAAAAAGCUUGAGGAAGGUGGCUUGAGAUUCGUCUUAAGUGUUUAUAGCCUCUUGCCUAUGCAGUCGGAGAGAUUGAGGUCUGCAGCGUAGAUCCUUCGGGGCUAAAUGCAUUUGUGCUAAGUUAUAGCAUUUUAUAGACAACUUGUUGACUAUGAUUUGUCUUGUAGCUUACUCGCUUAUGUUAUUUUACCUACGCUUAGGAUGUUGAGCGCAUGUCUCUCUCU
rnacentral:rRNA from 1 species